rnacentral:rRNA from 1 species
GGCCAGACUCCUACGGGAGGCAGCAGUGGGGGAUAUUGCACAAUGGGGGGAACCCUGAUGCAGCGACGCCGCGUGGGUGAAGAAGCGCCUCGGCGCGUAAAGCCCUCUCGGCAGGGAAGAAGGAGGACGGUACCUGACUAAGAAGCCCCGGCUAACUACGUGCCAGCAGCCGCGGUAAUACGUAGGGGGCAAGCGUUAUCCGGAUUUACUGGGUGUAAAGGGGGCGCAGACGGAAGCGCAAGCCAGGAGUGAAAGCCCGAGGCCCAACCCCGGGACUGCUCUUGGAACUGCGCGCCUGGAGUGCAGGAGGGGAAGGCGGAAUUCCUGGUGUAGCGGUGAAAUGCGUAGAUAUCAGGAGGAACACCGGUGGCGAAGGCGGCCUGCUGGACUGCGACUGACGUUGAGGCCCGAAAGCGUGGGGAGCAAACAGGAUUAGAUACCCCAGUAC